GGCUGGCUCAAUGGUAGAGUGCCUGACUACGAAUCAGGAGGGUAAGACCUCCGAGCACACUCGCAUCCAUCAACA